rnacentral:lncRNA from 1 species
CCGGCUACCCCUACCCGUACCCCGGCGUGCCGCCGCGCCGAGCACCGCGCGCAUCAACAUCAAUAAACAGCCAGCCGGACCGCCCGAUACGGAACCGAGAAGAUACCUCUCCAUUGUAGAUUAUAAAUGCAAC